UGUCACUAACCUCGUGUUGCCGCGUUAUUUCGCGAGUUGUCUACUCGCAGAGCGUGAUGCAUUUGCUUUGUUAGUCGAAAAGUACUGGGAAUUAGUUUCAAGAAAACCCGACAUGGCGUCGUAAACAAUGAAACGAACCGCCGAUUUUGAUACCAUAAUAGUUGAAAAAAACGGUAUUUUACGAAUCACAUGCCUUUCAGUACAUGUAAGCACUUGUCUGAUGACGUUUACAUUGAAGAAAUGGCGUUACAGCGGCUGGAAGACUUUGAAAUGGAGACCACGUGUGACAUUCAAAUCAAGUGUCAAAGCUGAAUGCAGAUGAUGCCACCACUGUCAAAAGGAUGCUGGUGCAAACAAGAAUUAUAGAGCCUGGUAAGAGAUUAUUUUUUGAGUCAAUGUGAUGCUCCAAGGAAAUUUGAGACCUCAAAUUCCAAGAGGUAGUGAGGAAUGACAAUUUGAAGCAGUAAACCACAGAAAAUUUUUAACCUUGGAAAGAAGCAAGAAUUGGGGGUCCAACCGCAAGUUAAAAAGUUCACAGAGACCAGGAUACUUAAUGUUUUGGUGUUUCAACCCCAACAAACCGAAAAUUUUAACUUCGAAAGGAGGUGUAAAUUUGGAGUAUAAAAACCUCCGCCAGCUUCUUUGUGGUUCACUUAGGUAACGUACAGUGGGGACAGAUACCAUUUGAAGCUCUCUCUACCUUACUUUAAGAUUUCAUGAUAAAUGACCAAGGAAAAAAGUGUCAACCGUGGAAGGAAGGAAAAA